AUUGAACGCUGGCGGCAGGCCUAACACAUGCAAGUCGAGCGAGCGGCGGACGGGUGAGUAAUGUCUGGGAAACUGCCUGAUGGAGGGCGAUAACUACUGGACACGGUAGCUAAUACCGCAUACCAUCAGAUGUGCCCAGAUGGGAUUAGCUAGUAGGUGGGGUAACGGCUCACCUAGGCGACGAUCCCUAGCUGGUCUGAGAGGAUGACCAGCCACACUGGAACGGAGACACGGUCCAGACUCCGUCGGGAGGAAGCAGUGGGGAAUGUUGCACAAUGGGCGCAAGCCUGAUGCAGCCAUGCCGCGGGUGUGAGGAAGGCCUUCGGGUUGUAAAGCACUUUCAGCGGGGAGGCGUUACCCACAGAAGAAGCACCGGCUAACUCCGUGCCAGCAGCCGCGGUAAUUC
rnacentral:rRNA from 1 species